rnacentral:rRNA from 1 species
ACGGAAGGCAGCAGUGAGGAAUAUUGGUCAAUGGGCGCAAGCCUGAACCAGCCAAGUAGCGUGCAGGAUGACGGCCCUAUGGGUUGUAAACUGCUUUUGUCGGGGAAUAAAGUGCCCCAUGCGUGGGGUUUUGCAAGUACCGCAGGAAUAAGGAUCGGCUAACUCCGUGCCAGCAGCCGCGGUAAUACGGAGGAUCCGAGUGUUAUCCGGAUUUAUUGGGUUUAAAGGGUGCGUAGGCGGAGGAUCAAGUCAGUGGUGAAAUGGUGCGGCUCAACCGUAGCAUUGCCGUUGAAACUGGUUUUCUAGAGUGCGAAUGAGGUGGGCGGAAUGUGUCAUGUAGCGGUGAAAUGCAUAGAUAUGACACAGAACACCGAUUGCGAAGGCAGCUCACUGGGACGCAACUGACGCUGAGGCACGAAAGUGCGGGGAUCGAACAGGAUUAGAUACCCUGGUA